CAGAAUCAUCUUCCAUUGUGCUGA
rnacentral:siRNA from 1 species